rnacentral:rRNA from 1 species
GACGAACCGUACGAACGUUAUUCGGAAUCACUGGGCUUAAAGGGUGCGUAGGCGGCGCGACAAGUUGGGUGUGAAAUCCCUCGGCUCAACCGAGGAACUGCGCCCAAAACUGUCGUGCUCGAGGGAGACAGAGGUGAGCGGAACUUAGGGUGGAGCGGUGAAAUGCGUUGAUAUCCUAAGGAACACCGGUGGCGAAAGCGGCUCACUGGGUCUCUUCUGACGCUGAGGAACGAAAGCUAGGGUAGCGAACGGG